rnacentral:rRNA from 1 species
GCAGCCUGAUGCNGCGACGCCGCGUGAGGGAUGACGGCCUUCGGGUUGUAAACCUCUUUCAAUAGGGACGAAGCGCANGUGACGGUACCUAUAGAAGAAGGACCGGCCAACUACGUGCCAGCAGCCGCGG